CGAUUAAUUAAGCUACUAGGUUCAUACCCCAAAUAUAAAGGAAAUACCUUUUUUUUAAAA
rnacentral:tRNA from 1 species